GAUGAACGCUGACAGAAUGCUUAACACAUGCAAGUCUUUGGCGAAGCUGUGCUCGCACAGCCUAGCCAAGGCGGACGGGUGAGUAACGCGUAAGGAACUUGCCCUGCAGUCAGGGAUAACAGACGGAAACGACUGAUAAGACCUGGUAAAGUCAGGCGGACUCAUGUCCAGCCUGAUGAAAAGAGAUGCUGCAGGAGAGCCUUGCGUCCUAUUAGCUUGUUGGUGGGGUAACGGCCCACCAAGGCGAUGAUAGGUAGCCGGCCUGAGAGGGUGGACGGCCACAAGGGGACUGAGAUACGGCCCUUACUCCUACGGGAGGCAGCAGUGGGGAAUAUUGGACAAUGGGGGCAACCCUGAUCCAGCAAUUCUGUGUGCACGAUGAAGGUUUUCGGAGUGUAAAGUGCUUUCAGCAGGGAAGAAAAAAAUGACGGUACCUGCAGAGGAAGCGACGGCUAAAUACGUG
rnacentral:rRNA from 1 species